AUAGACCGUGCUAUUCUCCGCGCCGGUGUAGUUGCCGCCGACGGACAGAACGUCGCC
rnacentral:sRNA from 1 species